UUCAAAGUACGGACAUUAGUCUGGCAAUGUACCUUCAAAGUACCUUUAAAUAUAUAUUAAAUGGAGAGGAUUAGAACGCAUUCUCGCCAACAUACGAAUAAGAAAUAUGUAAUGAGUUAUUGUCCCUUAAAACAAAUACCUGCUUUUCAUUUUUAGUAUUCAUAAAAUAUUUAAAUUUAGAUUAAAUUAAAUUACGUAUCCAUACGUGAAAAAUAUUUGUUAACACUAGUCUGUGUUUUAUGACAGCAUAAGGUUAGUCAUUAUAGAAACAUGUACAUGUGUUAAAUCUAAUCUAUUUACUUCUCGAAUUUUCCAGAUGAGUGUUUACAUAUCAUGUUUUGAUAUUGAUGGAGAUUCUCGUGAAGAGAUCGAAAAAGAGCUACAAAACAUCAUAUGAACAUCAUACGACAUGAAAACACACCAGGAAGAUUCCUGCCGUCAGAUGGUGAAAAUCGAGAAGGAUGGAUAAUAGUUAUUGUUUCGAAAGAAUCGCUGAAAAGCGAACUGCUUUCGUUCAAUCUCAUGAAAUGCCUGACUGCCGAUGUUGAUGACGGCAGAUUGAGGGUCCUGCUUGUAUUGCGCAGCGGUGUGAAUAUCUCAGAAGUACCAAGAUGUAUUCGUUGGGUUACAGUAUUCAGCGAAUAUGAAAAAUCCUAUAAAAACUGGAUUGUAAGAACAGUUUCAGGAUAACCAAUAGAUAUUGGCAGGGCACUUCCAGCAGGGGAUGUUAUUCCAGGCUUAUGUUGGGCCUAUGUCUUGAACUACCUUAAGAUUGUGCUGACGACCAGCAGUCACAUCGUACUGUGAAGAUCCGGGAGGUCCAGACGCCAGCCAUUCGAUGUCAGUAUCCGAUACGCAAUUCUUCAUUAAAACGUUUACAACUCCCUACAUACUGCAUCCUCGUUUCCCUUGUUCUUUAACUGUCCGAUCCAUCGAAUCCGUCCGUAAAGAAUCUCCUGUCAACGCUGGCAUAUGCAAUACCGUCAUCAUUUUUGUUUAUAUCGAGAAUAAUAGCCAGAAUUGAUCAUGUAUCUAUGGACAUAAGUACACAGGUAUGGUCUAUUAGUAUUCGAAAAUGCCACGUUCAGCGUGAUUUGUCAUCCAUAUUGAACAGCACAUUUUUCUGUUCUUAACAACUACGCUGUCAAUAGGGAAACAAAAAUGAGAAACCCCCAAAAAGUUGUCUGGUAUUUUUCAUUUAGCAGACCUUCGUACGAGUUCAUAUUCGCAGUCGAUGACAAAGAAACAUAUUCUUAAAAACUAGGUAUCGAUUUUAACAUGGUGUUCGUAGAGCAAGUUCAUGCGGUUAUCUCCAUUGAAACCUUGUCAAUU